GAUGAAGAACGCAGCGAAAUGCGAUAAGUAGUGUGAAUUGCAGAAUUCAGUGAAUCAUCGAAUCUUUGAACGCACAUUGCGCCCUUUGGUAUUCCUUAGGGCAUGCCUGUUCGAGCGUCAUUUAAACCUUCAAGCUCAGCUUGGUGAUGGGCGACUGUCCCCCCCCCUCGCGGGGGGGACUCGCCUCAAAAACAUUGGCGGCCGGUACAUUGGCUUCGAGCGCAGCAGAAACGCGGUCUCGAGCACGGUGGAUCGGCUCCCAUAAGCCUAUUCUUUUAUUUUGACCUCGGAUCAGGUAGGGAUACCCGCUGAACUUAAGCAUAUCAAUAAGCGGAGGA
rnacentral:misc_RNA from 1 species